rnacentral:rRNA from 1 species
AAACGACAUCGAAAGCUUGCUUUUGGUGGCGUCGACCGGCGCACGGGUGAGUAACGCGUAUCCAACCUGCCCACCACUUGGGGAUAACCUUGCGAAAGUAAGACUAAUACCCAAUGAUAUCCCACGAAGGCAUCCGAAUGGGAUUAAAGAUUUAUCGGUGAUGGAUGGGGAUGCGUCUGAUUAGCUUGUUGGCGGGGUAACGGCCCACCAAGGCAACGAUCAGUAGGGGUUCUGAGAGGAAGGUCCCCCACAUUGGAACUGAGACACGGUCCAAACUCCUACGGGAGGCAGCAGUGAGGAAUAUUGGUCAAUGGGCGAGAGCCUGAACCAGCCAAGUAGCGUGCAGGACGACGGCCCUAUGGGUUGUAAACUGCUUUUAUGCGGGGAUAAAGUGGGCCACGCGUGGCCUUUUGCAGGUACCGCAUGAAUAAGGACCGGCUAAUUCCGUG